GACGACGCUGGCGGCGUGGAUUAGGCAUGCAAGUCGGACGGUAGGGCUUUAUCGUAAGAUAGAGUUUGAGAGUGGCGAACGGGUGAGUAACACGUAGGAAUCUACCCUUAAGACGGGGGACAACCCAGGGGAAACUUGGGCUAAUACCGGAUGAGAGUGCGAGAGAUUGCAUUUAAAAGGAUGGCGAAAGUUAUCGCUUAGGGAUGAGCCUGCGGUCUAUUAGUUAGUUGGUGGGGUAAGAGCUCACCAAGGCGAUGAUAGAUAGGCGGCCUUAACGGGUGGUCGCCCACACUGGGAUUGAGAUACGGCCCAGACUCCUACGGGAGGCAGCAGUCGAGAAUAGUCUACAAUGGCCGGAAGGCUGAUAGUGCGACGCCGCGUGAACGAGGGAGCCCUUCGGGGUGUAAAGUUCUUUUCUAUACGAGCAGUGCUAUAUAUAUGGAUAGUAUAUAUAGAGGGAUAGUAGUAUAGGAAUAAGCAACGGCUAACUCCGUG
rnacentral:rRNA from 1 species